rnacentral:tRNA from 1 species
GGGGCUGGGGCUCAGUGGCAGAGCGCUUGCCCGGCACGCAUGAGGCACUGGGCUCGACCCUCAGCACCCCA